rnacentral:lncRNA from 1 species
GCUAGUACCGUUUUAGUUAGGGCUUGUUGAAUUUGCGUUGCUUCGGUUUGUGUCGAGUUGCUGGUCUUAGUGUCUAGUCCUUUAGAGUUUCGAGUUCUUGUCACCAUCUAUACACAGCCGAGUAUUACCAUAUCUUCUCUCUGUCGAAUCUGUUGCGAAGUCUGAAUUGAAUUGUGGUCUUGGUCCGGAUCGAGUAGAGUUCCAAUCUGAGUUCAAAAAGAAAGAUAACUCUACUUGUUCGGCCUUACUCUAGAGAGAGAGAGAGAGUGUGGAGCGAAAAAAGUGUGUGGAGCGAAUUGCUCUUUUGUAUUCUUUUGUUCAUAUAAUCAGUUUUUGAGGUUGCCCAAAAAAAAAGAAAAAAAAAGAAAAGAGAAAAGAUUCAAAAAAAGGGGCUGUUUUUCAUAUUGAUUUUAGGUUUGUCCCACCUUGUUUUCGGGGGUGUGCUGUGGUUUUCCUUUGUGUCCAGGCUCGCGUCUCUAGCAUGGUCUAGCCUAGGACCAGCACAGUACCAUCAUCGAACGCUUAUUCAGCUCGCUUUUAUAACUAACGUGGUGCUAGUUCGUUCCUUGUUUCAGCCCACCUAUAGCUCCACAUACUCUACAGCUUGACAGGUCUUGUGCUGCAGCACCGAUACACUUCGUCCAUUGCUGUACACUUGUUGGCAGACGACCCCUCCUGUCAAGCAAGGUAAGAAUUGGUAAGAACUUGUGUUACAGGUUGAGUGUGAGCGACUUGCUGUAGCUACAUCCUAGUAGUUGUAGGGCUUUUAUUUCUUCACUUGCCUUUUUAUUGUCUUUAUCUUUGAACCAUGCCAGGGGCAGAUGAUGGUAACGAAACACCACUUACACCUCGCACUAAGGGCAUCAUACAACAUUUUAAAAGGAAAGUGAAGAUGCACACAGAGGGACUUGAUAACGACUUGCAGGUGACGAAUGAAAAGCUGGGGCAGUUGGAGGCUACGCAGAUUGCCACAAACAACAAGCUCACAAGUUUGGAGGAAUCCGUUGCUAGUGUGGACAAAAGCCUUGCUGCUCUCCUAAGGCGAUUUGAUGCUUUCCACACCGAAGAUAAAGAGAAGCAUAAAGAAGAAAAGGAGGGAGAUCGAGAGCACGGUAGUCAUGAAGAUGACUACACUGGUGAUACUGAACAUGAUGAUCAAGACACUCGUGAUCGACGUCACCUUCGUCACAACCGUAGAGGUAUGGGUGGCAACCGCCGACGCGAGGUACACAAUAAUGAUGAUGCUUUCAGUAAGAUUAAAUUUAAGAUACCCCUUUUGAUGGUAAAUAUGACUCUGAUGCUUACAUCACUUGGGAGAUUGCUGUUGAUCAAAAGUUUGCAUGUCAUGAAUUUCCUGAGACUACACGUGUUAGGGCUGCUACUAGUGAGUUUACAUAUUUUGCUUCUGUUUGAUGGAUAGAAUAUGGAAAGAAAAAUCCUAAUAACUUACCUAGAACUUGGGAUGCGCUGAAAAGGGCCAUGAGAGCUAGAUUUGUUCCAUAUUACUAUGCGCGUGAUAUGAUAAAUAAGUUGCAGCAGUUAAGACAAGGUGCUAAAAGUGUAGAAGAAUAUUAUCAGGAAUUACAAAUGGGUAUGUUGCGUUGUAACCUAGAGGAGGAUGAGGAACCGGCUAUGGCUAGAUUUUUGGGUGGGUUAAAUCGUGAAAUCCAGGACAUUCUUGCUUAUAAAGAUUAUACUAACGUAACCCGUUUGUUUCAUCUUGCUUGUAAAGCUGAAAGGGAAGUGCAGGGACGACGUGCUAGCGCAAGGAGUAAUAUUUCUGCAGGGAAGGCUAAUUCAUGGCAGCAACGCGUGGCUUCAACUCCAUCUACACGUAUUUCUACUCCAUCAUCUAGUGACAAGACUCGAGCUGCCCCCACCAAUUCAGUUGCGAAGACGAUGCAAAAGCCUGCUGCGAGUACUUCAUCCGUGGCAUCGACGGGUAGAACAAGCAACAUACAAUGUCACCGGUGCAAGGGAUAUGGGCACAUGAUGCGUGACUGUCCAAACAAGCGAGUUAUGAUUGUUAGGGAUGAUGGUGAGUACUCAUCUGCUAGUGAUUUUGAUGAGGAUACACUUGCACUGCUUGCGACUGACCAUGCAGGUAAUGAAGAUCAAAUAGAAGAACAUAUUAAUGCAGGUGAAGCGGACCACUAUGAGAGCUUGAUCGUGCAGCGAGUGCUUAGUGCACAAAUGGAGAUGGCGGAACAAAAUCAGCGACACAUUUUAUUCCAAACAAAGUGUGUCAUCAAAGAGCGUUCUUGUCGCAUGAUCAUUGAUGGAGGUAGCUGCAACAACUUGGCAAGCAGCGAUAUGGUGCAGAAGCUUGCCCUCAACACCAAACCACACCCGCAUCCCUACUACAUCCAAUGGCUGAACAACAGUGGUAAGGCAAAGGUAACUAGACUUGUGAGAAUUAAUUUUUCCAUCGGAUCCUACAAAGAUAUUGUUGAAUGUGAUGUUGUGCCUAUGCAAGCUUGUAACAUUCUGCUAGGUAGACCUUGGCAAUUUGAUAGAGAUUCUAUGCAUCAUGGUAGAUCAAAUCAGUAUUCUUUUCUAUACCAUGAUCGCAAAAUUGUGUUGCAUCCUAUGUCCUCUGAAACUAUUAUGCAAACUGAUGUUGCUAGGGCUACUAAAGCAAAGAGCAAGAGCAAUAAAAAUGAUAAAUCUGUAAUUGGUAACAAAGAUGAGAUAAAACUGAAAGGACGUUGUAUGAUAGCUACCAAAUCAGAUAUUAAUGAGUUCAAUGCAUCCACUUCUGUUGCUUAUGCUUUGAUAUGCAAGGAUGCUUUGAUUUCAGUUGAGGAUAUGCAAUGUUCUUUGCCCCCUGCUGUUGCUAACGUUUUGCAGGAGUAUUCUGAUGUGUUUCCAAGUGAUGUACCAGCGGGGCUGCCUCCACUACGCGGGAUUGAGCACCAAAUUGAUCUUAUUCCUGGAUCAGUUUUGCCAAAUCGUGCACCAUACAGGACAAACCCGGAGGAAACAAAGGAAAUUCAGCGACAAGUGCAAGAACUACUAGACAAAGGUUAUGUCCGAGAAUCUCUUAGUCCUUGUGCUGUUGCAGUAAUUUUAGUGCCUAAGAAAGAUGGAACAUGGUGUAUGUGUGUUGAUUGUAGAGCUAUUAAUAAUAUCACCAUUCGAUAUCGACACCCUAUUCCACGAUUAGAUGAUAUGCUAGAUGAACUGAGUGGUGCUGUUGUGUUUUCAAAAGUUGAUUUACGUAGUGGGUACCACCAGAUUCGUAUGAAAUUGGGAGAUAAAGGUAGAAAGCAAUUGAUUCUGGAACCUGGGGAUUUGGUUUGGUUGCAUUUGCGAAAAGAUAGAUUUCCAGAACUGAGAAAAUCCAAAUUGAUGCCUAGAGCUGAUGGUCCUUUUAAAGUGCUGCAACGAAUUAAUGAGAAUGCAUAUAAGCUUGAUCUUCCUGCAGAUUUUGGGGUUAGUCCCACAUUUAACAUUGCAGAUUUGAAGCCUUAUUUGGGUGAGGAAGAUGAGCUUGAGUCGAGGAUGACUCAAAUUUAAGAAAGGGAGGAUGAUGAGGACAUCAACACCAGCGAUACAUAUCCUACAUCCACCAGCGAUACAUAUCCUACAUCCACCAGCGAUACAUAUCCUACAUCCUCUCCGACACAACCUAUAGCUGGUCCUCUUACUCGUGCUCGUGCCCGUCAACUCAACCUUCAAGUAAGUUCAGCUUUAAACUCUUGUCAAUCAUAUUUAGACAAUGGAGACACGUGCACUUUGGUGUUGCUCAGGAAUAAUGGACAAGAUCAGCAAGGGAAGGUUCAACUGCAUUCAGAAUUUGAGGCAACACCAACUUCAAGGGCUGAUUGCAUAUGGGAAGAGUGAUAACUUAACAAAGGUGAUUGAAGAUCAGGUCCAAGCCUCCACAACAUCCUCUGUCAAGUUACCACGUCGUUUCUAAAGCAAGGAAACAAAGAGUCCAAACCCAACACGUUUUGGGAGUUGGAUUCGGACUGGAAAAUAACUCUAACUUGUAUGGAUCACCACGGCGUCAUAUGGACUCCAACUGGGACGUUCCUAUACUUGUUGGAAAGCUCAUGAAGGCUACUUUCCAAUGGGUCCAACCACAUAUCUAUGCGGCUUAUGAGUCGGGCGCAGUCCUUGUUUUCGUGCCGACACCUUUUUCUGUUUUGGUGCUGCGUCACCCUAUUUUGGACCAAUGGCCCAUGUAUCAAGUUGAGUCCAUUAGGGACGCGUCCUAGGGUUGGAGGACGACUCUAGCACCCCUUUGGUCGUCCUCCCCUCUAUUUAUUUACAUCUAGAGCCGCCAUAAACAACUGGGUUUUGUUUAGAUCAAGUUUAGCCUUCGCUACUUGCUUGUAGGCGCGCGUGCAGGAUCAGCCGCCCGCCUCCUUGUCUUCGGAACCCCAUUGUUGAUUAAGAUUCAGUUUAAAACCUUCAAUUCAUCUUGCAAAUUCAGUGCUUGUUUCCUCGUUCUUGCUAGUUCUUCGAUUGCUUGCAGGACGGGAGCCCUAGGGGCUGGUUGUCGCGCUCCACAAGAUCGUGACGGCUGUUGGACGUGGUGUAUCGGUUGCUAAGGCGCGGUCUUGAGGGCUGUAGUCGGGCCGUGAACGUCAUCUCCAUCCACUAAUCGAGUUAUCCACCGCCUCUCAUCGAAAGAUCAGGCCAAAAACCCUAGCGGGCUCGCAUCAGUUGGUAUCAGAGCAAGGUUCUUCGGUGAGAGACUUCUAAUCCUUUGCUGUUUUUAAUUAAUUUCCUAUAGUCCAGAAAAGCCAAAAAAAUAUAGUAGAUUAGUUUUCCAUAAUCCUAUUAAACCUUUGUGCUUUGGCUAGUACCGUUUUAGUUAGGGCUUGUUGAAUUUGCGUUGCUUCGGUUUGUGUCGAGUUGCUGGUCUUAGUGUCUAGUCCUUUAGAGUUUCGAGUUCUUGUCACCAUCUAUACACAGCCGAGUAUUACCAUAUCUUCUCUCUGUCGAAUCUGUUGCGAAGUCUGAAUUGAACUGUGGUCUUGGUCCGGAUCGAGUAGAGUUCCAAUCUGAGUUCAAAAAGAAAGAUAACUCUACUUGUUCGGCCUUACUCGAGAGAGAGAGAGAGAGUGUGGAGCGAAAAAAGUGUAUGGAGCGAAUUGCUCUUUUGUAUUCUUUUGUUCAUAUAAUCAGUUUUUGAGGUUGCCCAAAAAAAAAGAAAAAAAAAAGAAAAAAAAGAAAAGAGAAAAGAUUCAAAAAAAGGGGCUGUUUUUCAUAUUGAUUUUAGGUUUGUCCCACCUUGUUUUCGGGGGUGUGCUGUGGUUUUCCUUUGUGUCUAGGCUCGCGUCUCUAGCACGGUCUAGCCUAGGACCAGCACAGUACCAUCGUCGAACGCUUAUUCAGCUCGCUUUUAUAACUAACGUGGUGCUAGUUCGUUCCUUGUUUCAGCCCACC